rnacentral:rRNA from 1 species
ACGAACGCUGGCGGCGUGCUUAACACAUGCAAGUCGAACGGAAAGGCCCUGCUUUUGUGGGGUGCUCGAGUGGCGAACGGGUGAGUAACACGUGAGUAACCUGCCCUUGACUUUGGGAUAACUUCAGGAAACUGGGGCUAAUACCGGAUAGGAGCUCCUGCUGCAUGGUGGGGGUUGGAAAGUUUCGGCGGUUGGGGAUGGACUCGCGGCUUAUCAGCUUGUUGGUGGGGUAGUGGCUUACCAAGGCUUUGACGGGUAGCCGGCCUGAGGGGGUGACCGGCCACAUUGGGGCUGAGAUACGGCCCAGACUCCUACGGGAGGCAGCAGUGGGGAAUAUUGCACAAUGGGCGGAAGCCUGAUGCAGCAACGCCGCGUGCGGGAUGACGGCCUUCGGGUUGUAAACCGCUUUCGCCUGUGACGAAGCGUGAGUGACGGUAAUGGGUAAAGAAGCACCGGCUAACUACGUG